CCUCAAAUUUGGCCCAAAAACCAGAAUAAAUUUUAAAAUUCGAUAAGUGCAUGAUAUUAAGCUUGAUAAGGGUUCAGACGUUCAGUUGAUAAGAAUAAGUUAGAUUGAUUAUUGAUAUUUGAUAGUUGAUGACGAUAGUCAACAGACAAGUAAUAUCUACUAAAUCUACGUGAAUACUUAAAUAAUAGGUAGGUAUUGUAAUAUUUUAAUUUUCCCGUUGCUUCCACAGUCAACGUCUUUCUUAUUGAUGGCUGACAGUUUACUUAAUAUAAUUGUGAUGUGAAGAAACCCAAUGUCUAUUUUAAGUCCUGCAUAUUUGGUGUUUCUGAACCAAAAACAUUAAUUAAGUAUUUUAAUAUCAUGGCUGUUAAAAUGGCCGCAAGUGAGGCUGGCGGUGUUGUUGCUUCAGCUACAGCAUCCGAUUGGGAUACAAGAGAGUCAAUGCGUCAGCGUGAAUUAGAUGAAGCCAGGGCACGGGCAACACAAAUGGAGAAAACAAUGCGAUGGUGGUCUGAUUGUACUGCUAACUGGCGUGAAAAAUGGAGCAAGGUGAGAAAUGAAAGAAACAAAGCUCGAGAAGAAGCUAAAAUGCUCAAAGAUAAUUUAGAACAUGUACUAAAAGAAAACAGUAAUAUUAAAAGGGAAAAGCAAAAUCUCGAACAACAGAAUGAAUGUUUGCGCAAAGAAUUAGAAAAAGUCAAUCUGAUUCUAUUAAAACAUGCAGGACAAUGGGAUUCUCAACUGGUUGAUGCAUUGGAAAAUGGUAUUUCUGAUCCAGAUACUUGCUGUAGUUCAUCAUCUAUACCUCAGCCAUCGAUUGUGAGUGACUCUGGUAUUGAAGAAUAUGUUUUACAAGAGGCUGUUCCCAAACAUGCUGUUGAAAUGUUCAAUCAAACAACUUCUCCCAUUAAAUCACCAACUCCUAAUAAAACCAUAUCUGAUGAAGUAGCCGAUACACUUGAGAAGAAUUUAGAAAAUCUGUUGGAAAGCACUCAACAAGAUUUAAACAAUUUGCACAGUCAGUUGUCAGGUACAGAUAGUGUUAAAUCAGAAUGUCAAACUUGUCAAGACAAUCAGGUUAUUACUAACAAACGUUUGGAAGACUUAAGAAUACAGCUAGAACACUUACAAUCUGAAAAUGAAAUUGAAUGGAGCAAAAGAGAACAACUUGAAAGUGAAAUGAUGAACUUAGAAAGAAUCAAUAAGCAAUUAAAAUCUGAACUGAACGACACACUAGAUAAAUUGCAGAAACAGAGUAAACCUGAAUCAUCAUCAGACACAAAGUAUAGAUUAUUGCAAGAAGAGUUGGCUGAUAAAAAUAUUGAGUUAGCCAAUUUAAAACACAUUCUAUCCAAACAAAAGAAAGUGUGUGUUGACCAAAGUGCUGAGUCAGCGCAUUUAGUGAGACGUGGUGAGCAAUAUGAGAAUGAAGUCAAACGUUUGAGAAGCCGAGUAGAGGAAUUAAAAAGAGAAUUAGCUACUACAGAAGAAGAUUAUGAUACUGCUUCUAAUACUAUAAAGAAACUUCAAAGAUUAAACGAAGACUUGCAAGAAAAGCUUGAUAGCUUACAGGCCGAAUUAAUACAUCAAAAUAUAAGGUGAGGACUUGCUCAUAAACAAUUAAUUAUCAUUUUAGAUAUCACCUACAUAUUUAAUUAUACAAUUUAGAUUAAAAUCCAAAUGAUAAAAUUAAUGUAAUUUUAACUUAUAUUUAUAACCAAUUCAAUAACAAUCCAAUACCUAUGUGGUAUUUAAUGUUUUAAUAAUAAUAAUUAUUAAAUGUUAAUAUUAACAACUAUCUAACACACGUUUUUUUAUAAUAGUCAAAAAAUAAUUUUAGUAACUGAGCUGUAUAUUUGAUAUUUUUUUUAUUUAACAACUUUAAGUAGUUUUCAUAACAUGUCCAAGUACAUUGGAUAAAUCCCAAAAUAUUCAUUCAUAUUUCUUUAAUGAGUUCUUUAAUUAAUCUGAAAAAUUACAUUAAUAUAUUAAUACAUCCUAGCAUGAACGGUAGCUUACAAUCAUUUUACUACAAAAAAAAUAGUUUAUACUUAUCUAUCUAUGCUCACAUUUGUAACCUUACUACUACGGCUAUAGAUAAUAAAUACAAUAUCUAUCGCUAUAAUAUAAUAAAAAUGAUAUAUUAUCAUAUAUUCAUAUUAUCAUAGAUACUGACGUACUCAUACUACAUAUACUUGUGUCUAUGCACGUUCUGAUAUAAAAUCCAUAAGCCCAAUAGGCCGAUAGGCGUGAAACACUACUGUUACAGGGGCCAGUAACUAUGUCACAGCAGUCGGAACACCAUGUAUUACUACUAUGAGAAAAUAUCAUCCAUAGGUAGUUGAGUUAUUGAUAUUUUUUGUUGAUAAAUUGUAAAUAAGACACUGAGUGCUUGUAGACUGGUAAUAUACUUUUGUAUGCGGGGUCAGUAUAAUUAAAUACUCUAUUGGCCGCCUCACGUUGAUAUAUAAUUAUAUAGUAAACUAUAUUAUAUUAAAAACAGUCCUGUGGGGUUGUGGAGCCCCCCACAAGUUUGUGUACUAAAAAUGUUCAAUGCAUAUUGUAUAUAAUAUUAUGCCAUGUUAAAAUGCACAGUAUGUGACUAUUCUGUUCAAUAUAAUUUAAAUUAAUAACAUUAUUUUUUUACUUUAAAAAUGCUGCUUUUGAGUUCAUAGAACAUAAAAUUGACACGUUUAACAAGUCGAGUAUCUUCAGAUGAUUCAAGUCAUAGUGAUGAAGACUGAAUUUCAACUAAUAGACCUGCAUUAAUGUUUGUUACUUAUUAUUGGUGAAAAAACUACUAAAAUAUUUUGCUUCUUGUGUAAUAUAUUAUUACUUAUCAGUCAAUUAAUAUAAUUAAUACAUUGUAAGAAUACAAGUUAGUUCUAAUUAUGUGUCAAAUAUUUAAUUUAUAAUUUUUAUUUUUAUUUUGUAUAUAUAUAUAUAUAGAAAAUACCUUUUCUAUGAUCUUACCAUAAAAUCAAAACACAUUCACUAAAUCUAUAUUUAAUAUUUUAUUUAAUAACUUAUAUUUUAUACUUGUUUUGUAUUCUUCAAACACAUAAGACAUUUUCAUUUUCCAUUUUUUUAUUGA